rnacentral:rRNA from 1 species
UACGUAGGGGUGCGAGCGUUAAUUCGGAAUUACUGGGCGUAAAGCGCGCGCAGGCGGCUUUCUAAGACCAUCGGUGAAAUGCCGGGGCUCAACCCCGAGCCUGCCGAGGAUACUGGGAGGCUGGAGACAUGUAGAGGCAAGCGGAAUUCCGGGUGUAGCGGUGGAAUGCGUAGAGAUGUGGAGGAACACCGAUGGCGAAGGCAGCCCCCUGGGCGUGAGAUUGACGCUCAGGCACGAAAGCGUGGGGAGCAAACAGG